UACGUAGGGUGCAAGCGUUGUCCGGAAUUAUUGGGCGUAAAGAGCACGUAGGCGGUCUGUCGCGUCUGCUGUGAAAACUCAGGGCUUAACCCUGAGCUUGCAGUGGGUACGGGCAGACUAGAGUGCGGUAGGGGAGACUGGAAUUCCUGGUGUAGCGGUGAAAUGCGCAGAUAUCAGGAGGAACACCGGUGGCGAAGGCGGGUCUCUGGGCCGUAACUGACGCUGAGGAGCGAAAGCAUGGGGAGCGAACAGG
rnacentral:rRNA from 1 species